AAGCUGAAGUCCAAUCAACUUGAAACUUAGGUACACAUGUUUUCUUAUGAUAUGAACUUCUUAUUUUAAAACCAAAUUAGACUUUUGAACCCCAUUUUUAUGGUCCACUGAACAUAGAAAUUAAAAUUGAGUUCAAGGGGUUAAGUAGUUUUUGGUGAAGUGAGUUUUGAUGAAGCUGAAGUCCAAUCAACUUGAACUUAGUACACAUGUUUCUUAUAAUAUGAUCUUUCUUAUUUUAAAACCAAAUUAGACUUUUGACCCCAUUUUCAUGGUCCACCGAUCAUAGAAAAUGAAAGUGCGUGUUUCAGGUUAAAGUUUUUGGUCAAGGUAGUUUUUGAUGAAGUUAAAGUCCAAUCAACUUGAAACUACACUUGUUCCCUAUUGGUUGAUUUUUUUACUUUUAAGGCCAAAUUAGAUUUUUUACCCAAUUUCACAGUCCAUUGAAAAAGGUAAAUGAUAAUGGGAGCUGGGUAUUUGUGGAAGUCCUAAAACACAGGUGUAAAGAAAAUCUCAAUUAUUUUCUAAAUUUUCUGUAUGGAAUAUUUUAAAGCAAUCUCUGUUACAAGUUCAUUCCACAAAAAGAAUAUGUUGAUAUUAUAUUUAUAUUUGCCAUUCUUGCUAUAGACAUAACUAUGUCUUAUGCCAAUACUGUGUUUAUUAAUCAUUUUAAACUUUAUAAACUGAACCUGUUUACAAUUUCUCCUCAGAUUUUUCAUACGUUUAUAAUUUGCCUGAUACACAUGUAUUUCUUUGCAUGUUAUAAUUUAUAUUAAUUGCAUUUCAUCAUAGUCUCAGUAAAGUGCUUCAUUUCUGUUGAGUUAAAAUUUUAUAAAUUUUAUGUUCAAACCUUCUAAAAGGUUUUUAUUUGUGUUUUUCUAAGACAUAAGUUUGAUUGUCUUUAAAAGUUCAUCUUUAGUGAUUGUAUAUCUCU
rnacentral:lncRNA from 1 species